GAUGAACGCUGGCGGCGUGCCUAAUACAUGCAAGUAGAACGCUGAAGGAGGAGCUUGCUCUUCUGGAUGAGUUGCGAACGGGUGAGUAACGCGUAGGUAACCUGCCUGGUAGCGGGGGAUAACUAUUGGAAACGAUAGCUAAUACCGCAUGACAACAGUUAUUGCAUGAUAACUGUUUAAAAGGGGCAACUGCUCCACUACCAGAUGGACCUGCGUUGUAUUAGCUAGUUGGUGAGGUAACGGCUCACCAAGGCGACGAUACAUAGCCGACCUGAGAGGGGGAGCGGCCACACUGGGACUGAGACACGGCCCAGACUCCUACGGGAGGCAGCAGUAGGGAAUCUUCGGCAAUGGACGGAAGUCUGACCGAGCAACGCCGCGUGAGUGAAGAAGGGUUUCGGAUCGUAAAGCUCUGUUGUAAGAGAAGAACGAGUGUGAGAGUGGAAAGUUCACACUGUGACGGUAUCUUACCAGAAAGGGACGGCUAACUACGUG
rnacentral:rRNA from 1 species